rnacentral:lncRNA from 1 species
GACACUGUGCGUGACGUCACGGGACGCUCCACGUGUCGCUUGUUUACAGCGAGUCUGAGGAGCAGAGAUUGUGAAAGUGUUCCUGGAUUGAGUUUCACUGCUGCUCUUCAUAUUUAGAUCUUCAUCAGAGUCGGUGAGAAUCACCAGCACACGAUAUUAGAGAGAAGAAUGUUCCAGAUGGUUCAGUUCUUAGUUCCCUCGGGGCCCAAGAGACCCGGUAACAUCAGCCUAUCUCCCCAGAGCCGACAGAACCGGACUCGGACCGCUUCCAAUGAGUUUCUGCAACACGUCCGGAGAGUCAGCGGCCUGAAACAGCAGGACGUGUUUUAUAAGCUGCGUGUCCCAAACCAGAGUCAGAGCGACAGAGACGAGAUCCACCUGCUGCUGCUCACAGGUCACGGAGUGUUCUGCAUCGAUCUGAAGACGUGGAGCGGCUCUGUUUCGGUCGCGAGUGAGGCUCAGGUCAGAGCGGAGCAGCAGAACUUCACCAGCGUCUCCAUCGAGCAGCUGCCCGACGCUCUUCAGGCCAUUACAGAGAAAACCAGCAACCUGCACAGCCAUAUGAAGCGCUGCGGGCUGAACCUCCGGCCCAGUCUCUUCAUUCCCAGAGUGCUGUUCCUGUCUGCGGACUGUGUGCGGAGCGCGGAUCUGCUGCAGACGGAGCAGCUGCUGUCCUGCGCAGACGUGGAGCCGUUCCUGUGCUCGCUGCGCGAGGGAUACAUGUCCUGGCUCUCCGAUGCCUUCACGCCGUCCUGGAUCUCCGGUCACCUGUCGUAUGGGCAGAUGCGGGCGGUGCGGGAGCGGCUGGAGCUCUUGGGCACCUGGGAUGUGCUGCAGAUGAGCAGCGGUCAGGAGAUCGCCGGAGACUUCCAGGGCUGCCAGCAUCUCGCCCUCAACCGACAGGAAACAGAGCUGCUGGAGUUCAGCAGAACAGGAAGUGUGAUCACAGACGCGCUGUGGAGCCUGCUGGGACACACGCCGCAGUUUAAAGAUAAGAGCAAGGGACGCGGCUCUGAGAUCCACAAUAACCACAGAAACACACUCACCAGACUGAGAUCUCUACAUCUCACAUGCGUGUGUGUGAUUGAACAAACGCCUCAGAUCAUGUGUGUGUUGAGGAGAGCGAGAUGCUGCUUUACUACCAUUUUCACCAGAAAACAGCGGAAAAAACCCACAGACACAAUGAAAGAUGAAUCUGAGAAACAGCUGCGGUUCAGAAGAUCACUGAGAAGCCACCCAGAACACCCGAGAGAACACACUCGAGCAGUUGACUGAAUGAAGAGAAGUCACCGUCUCCAUGUAUAAGCGAGGAGCGCAGGGGUGGCUGGGUAAACCGCUGAUCGCCACGGCAACCAUCCCCUCCAGCACACGCGUGAUCUUCCGCAUCCGAGGAGAACCGACAGACGGCAAGAUCCCGGUGGGCAGCGUCCGCUCCAUCACGCUGAGCAUCUGAAGCCCUGCAGCUUUAUUCUCUCCGCAGUGAUUCAUUCCAUGCGCUCGAUAGCACAAUCAUCACUACUGACACCACUCAUGUCUUUAUCACACCAAUCAACAAGAGUUUCAAACGUGCUUUAUAUCUUUUUAAUAUUUGAUGAUUGCUGAGAAAUGUUUUACUUUUCUAAUCAGACAUCAGCCUGUAUUCUGAACAGUGUGAGUCCAGCGUUCAUGUUUUCGUACUCUUCACAGUCUAGUAAAUCUUCAUGGUAAUUUUAAAAAUGUUACUAAUUUCUUUAAAGUGACUUUAAAACUCUGAACAUAGAAAAGAUCCCGGUUGGUUUUGUCAAACUGACGAACAUUUCUUGGCCAUUAUUCAAAUGAUGAAGAUAUUUUGAUCUGUUAAAGCCUCAAUAUUUUGUCAGUUAAUUUGAAAUGAUUGAUAUUUCAUGCAAUAAAAUAC